AACGAACGCUGGCGGCAUGCCUAACACAUGUAAGUCGAACGAGACCUUCGGGUCUAGUGGCGCACGGGUGCGUAACGCGUGGGAACCUGCCCUUAGGUUCGGAAUAACUCCCCGAAAGGGGUGCUAAUACCGGAUAAUGUCUUCGGACCAAAGAUUUAUCGCCUUUGGAUGGGCCCGCGUUGGGUUAGCUAGUUGGUAGGGUAAAAGCCUACCAAGGCGACGAUCCAUAGCUGGUCUGAGAGGAUGAUCAGCCACACUGGGACUGAGACACGGCCCAGACUCCUACGGGAGGCAGCAGUGGGGAAUAUUGGACAAUGGGCGAAAGCCUGAUCCAGCAAUGCCGCGUGAGUGAUGAAGGCCUUAGGGUUGUAAAGCUCUUUUACCCGGGAUGAUAAUGACAGUACCGGGAGAAUAAGCUCCGGCUAACUCCGUG
rnacentral:rRNA from 1 species